ACCGAAAUAGCUCAGUUGGGAGAGCGUUAGACUAUAGAUCGAAAAGUCCCUGGUUCGAUCCCGGGUUCCUGCA
rnacentral:tRNA from 1 species